CCAAACCAGCGCUAUCAUCACCAACGGUAGUCCAAGUUGAUCUAGGACUGCUGGGAGGCGGAAAUUCUCAAAAAAACGUGGCUGAAUCUGGCCCUGGGGUGUGUACUGGUGCUCAAUUUGCUGCCUCUGUUGGACGUCCUAGUUUGGCCCAACAGCACCAUGUCAAUUAUUGAUAGCCAUCCAUUUAUUAUCACUUGUACUAAAAUGAUGGAAAUACUUUUUUGUUUAGUUUGAAUAGCUGAACCAGAGACAUUUCCUUGAGCCUAGAUUAUAAGGACAGGGAGGUUCCCUACUUCCUUUUGGUUUUGUUCAAAGUUUUGAGGUUAGGCGUAGGUAUAUCACUUUUCCCAACAUGAUGUUCUAAUUCUUGUGGCUAUGAGGUAUGCAGCUUCUGGACAACAUAUUUUCAUUAUCCUGGGAGCGUGUCGUUGCUUUUUACAUGUUGUGGCUUCAUGAAUUUUGGUAGCCAUUAACCUUCUAUUUGUAUCUUGAAUUUUGGCUGCAUGCCAAAACAUCACGAAAGAUUAUGAUUAUUUUAUUCUUUGCUUUUUAUUUUUAUCUUAUUUUCAAUUAUUUUAGUUCUUCAAUUUUUUUUUGAAUUUUUAUUUUAUUUUCUAGAUUUACUAUUUUAAAGUCAAGUGAUAAGAGGCAAUGUCUUAAUUCAAUAAAAUAUUUAAUUGUUACACUGUUUAUGUAAUGGUGCAGCGAUAUUCUAUAGUUAAUUUGAUGGAGAAUCAAAAUAAUUUGAAUAAAAUAAAAAUUACAAAGAGAAGGAGAGAAGCGAAAAUCAGAAAUGAAAACGGUGUUUCUGGUCACAGUCCAAAUUUUAUAAAUUCACUUCACUCUACGUUUUUUGUUUGAUUAAUGACAAAAUAUCUACAAUUUCUUGUUAGUAAACCAUUUAAAGUG
rnacentral:misc_RNA from 1 species